rnacentral:rRNA from 1 species
GACGAACGCUGGCGGCGUGCCUAAUACAUGCAAGUCGAACGCAUUUUCUUUCACCGUAGCUUGCUACACCGAAAGAAACUGAGUGGCGAACGGGUGAGUAACACGUGGGUAACCUGCCCAUCAGCGGGGGAUAACACUUGGAAACAGGUGCUAAUACCGCAUAAUUCCAUUUUCCGCAUGGUAGAUGGAUGAAAGGCGCUUUUGCGUCACGGAUGGAUGGACCCGCGGUGCAUUAGCUAGUUGGUGGGGUAAGGGCCUACCAAGGCUGCGAUGCAUAGCCGACCUGAGAGGGUGAUCGGCCACACUGGGACGGAGACACGGCCCAGACGCCUACGGGAGGCAGCAGUAGGGAAUCUUCGGCAAUGGACACAAGACUGACCGAGCAACGCCGCGUGAGUGAAGAAGGAUUUCGGAUCGUAAAACUCUGUUGUUAGAGAAGAACAAGGAUGAGAGUGGAAAGUUCAUCCCUUGACGGUAUCUAACCAGAAAGCCACGGCUAACUACGUG